CAGUAGCCGCGGUAAUACGAGGGGGGCAAGCGUUGUUCUGAAUUAUUGGGCGUAAAGGGUGCGUAGGCGGUUUGGCAAGUUUGGUGUGAAAUCUUCGGGCUCAACUCGAAGUCUGCAUCGAAAACUGCCGGGCUUGAGUAUGGGAGAGGUGAGUGGAAUUUCCGGUGUAGCGGUGAAAUGCGUAGAUAUCGGAAGGAACACCUGUGGCGAAAGCGGCUCACUGGACCAUAACUGAUGCUGAUGCACGAAAGCUAGGGGAGCAAACAGGAUUAGAUACCCCCGUAGUCCCUGUCUCUUAUAU
rnacentral:rRNA from 1 species